rnacentral:lncRNA from 1 species
CCGAAGGUGCUCUCCCAAAGCGGACAAUAUCUACUGUUGUGGGCCCAGAGGAUGUUACAAUUGGUAUCAGAGCCUGGGCCUCAUGAGUACGGUGUGCUGAGCGAGGACGCUCAGGCCUUAUGGGGGGUAGAAGCCCUAUGAGGUGGAUUGAAAGUAUCCCACAUCGGAAAGAGGUAAGGAGGGGAGACGCCUUAUAAGGGCAAGCCCCAAGAGACCACAGUAGACGCGUUUUGAGGGGAAGGACGCUUGCGUGAACCCUCAGAAACAAAUCCGUGAG